UACGUAGGGGGCAGGCGUUGUCCGGAUUUAUUGGGCGUAAAGAGCGUGUAGGCGGCCUUACAGGUCAGCUGUGAAAACUCGAGGCUCAACCUCGAGACGUCGGUUGAAACCGUAUGGCUAGAGUCCGGAAGAGGAGAGUGGAAUUCCCGGUGUAGCGGUGAAAUGCGCAGAUAUCGGGAAGAACACCCGUGGCGAAGGCGGCUCUCUGGGACGGUACUGACGCUGAGACGCGAAAGCGUGGGGAGCAAACAGG
rnacentral:rRNA from 1 species